rnacentral:rRNA from 1 species
GACGUAGGGGGCAAGCGUUAUCCGGAUUCACUGGGCGUAAAGGGCGCGUAGGCGGCUAUGUAAGUCCGGCGUGAAAUCCCAGGGCUUAACUCUGGAACUGCGUCGGAUACUGCAUUGGCUUGAGGUCGGUAGAGGCUAGUGGAACUAGCGGUGUAGCGGUGAAAUGCGCAGAUAUCGCUAGGAACGCCGGUGGCGAAGGCGACUGGCUGGGCCGAUCCUGACGCUGAGGCGCGAAAGCUAGGGGAGCGAACCGG